rnacentral:rRNA from 1 species
AAUAGAUACCCCGGUAGUCCACGCCGUAAACGAUGAGUGCUAAGUGUUAGAGGGUUUCCGCCCUUUAGUGCUGCAGCUAACGCAUUAAGCACUCCGCCUGGGGAGUACGGUCGCAAGACUGAAACUCAAAGGAAUUGACGGGGGCCCGCACAAGCGGUGGAGCAUGUGGUUUAAUUCGAAGCAACGCGAAGAACCUUACCAGGUCUUGACAUCCUCUGACAACUCUAGAGAUAGAGCGUUCCCCUUCGGGGGACAGAGUGACAGGUGGUGCAUGGUUGUCGUCAGCUCGUGUCGUGAGAUGUUGGGUUAAGUCCCGCAACGAGCGCAACCCUUGAUCUUAGUUGCCAGCAUUUAGUUGGGCACUCUAAGGUGACUGCCGGUGACAAACCGGAGGAAGGUGGGGAUGACGUCAAAUCAUCAUGCCCCUUAUGACCUGGGCUACACACGUGCUACAAUGGAUGGUACAAAGGGCUGCAAGACCGCGAGGUCAAGCCAAUCCCAUAAAACCCAUUCUCAGUUCGGAUUGUAGG